GAUGAACGCUGGCGGCGUGCCUAACACAUGCAAGUCGAGCGGAGUCAGUAAGAGGAAGUUUUCGGAUGGAAUCUUAUUGAUUUAGCGGCGGACGGGUGAGUAACGCGUGAGCGACCAACCUUGCACAGGGGGAUAACGGACCGAAAGGUUCACUAAUACCGCAUGAGACCACGGUGUUGCAUGACACAGAGGUCAAAGGAGCAAUCCGGUGCAAGACGGGCUCGCGUCCGAUUAGGUAGUUGGAGGGGUAAUGGCCCACCAAGCCUAUGAUCGGUAGCCGACCUGGGAGGGUGAGCGGCCACAUUGGAACUGAGAGACGGUCCAAACUCCUACGGGAGGCAGCAGUGGGGAAUAUUGGGCAAUGGGGGAAACCCUGACCCAGCAACGCCGCGUGAAGGAAGAAGGUUUUCGGAUUGUAAACUUCUGUCCUUGGUGAAGAGAAGAAGACGGUAGCCAAGGAGGAAGCCCCGGCUAACUACGUGCCAGCCGCCGCAGUAA
rnacentral:rRNA from 1 species